rnacentral:rRNA from 1 species
UAUGCGUAGUAUGCCUUCGGGUGAGUGAGGCAAUGACUAGAGUGGCGAACUGGUGAGUAACACGUAAGAAACCUGCCCUUUAGUGGGGGAUAACAUUUGGAAACAGAUGCUAAUACCGCGUAACAACAAAUCACACAUGUGAUCUGUUUGAAAGGUCCUUUUGGAUCGCUAGAGGAUGGUCUUGCGGCGUAUUAGCUUGUUGGUAGGGUAGAAGCCUACCAAGGCAAUGAUGCGUAGCCGAGUUGAGAGACUGGCCGGCCACAUUGGGACUGAGACACUGCCCAAACUCCUACGGGAGGCUGCAGUAGGGAAUUUUCCGCAAUGCACGAAAGUGUGACGGAGCGACGCCGCGUGUGUGAUGAAGGCUUUCGGGUCGUAAAGCACUGUUGUAAGGGAAGAAUAACUGAAUUCAGAGAAAGUUUUCAGCUUGACGGUACCUUACCAGAAAGGGAUGGCUAAAUACGUGCCAGCAGCCGCGGUAAUACGUAUGUCCCGAGCGUUAUCCGGAUUUAUUGGGCGUAAAGCGAGCGCAGACGGUUUAUUAAGUCUGAUGUGAAAUCCCGAGGCCCAACCUCGGAACUGCAUUGGAAACUGAUUUACUUGAGUGCGAUAGAGGCAAGUGGAACUCCAUGUGUAGCGUG